UGGAACAAUGUAGGCAAGGGAAGUCGGCAAAACGGAUCCGUAACUUCGGGAAAAGGAUUGGCUCUGAGGACUGGGCUCGGGGGUCCCGGCCCCGAACCCGUCGGCUGUUGGCGGAUUGCUCGAGCUGCUCACGAGGCGAGAGCGGGUCGCCGCGUGCCGGCCGGGGGACGGACCGGGAAUCGCCCCUUCGGGAGCUUUCCCCGAGCUUGAAAUAGUCGACUCAGAACAGGUACGGACAAGGGGAAUCCGACUGUUUAAUUAAAACAAAGCAUUGCGAUGGUCCUCGCGGAUGCUCACGCAAUGUGAUUUCUACCCAGUGCUGUGAAUGUCAAAGUGAAGAAAUUCAACCAAGCGCGGGAAAACGGCGGGAGUAACUAUGACUCUCUUAAGGUAGCCAAAUGCCUCGUCAUCUAAUUAGUGACGCGCAUGAAUGGAUUAACGAGAUUCCCGCUGUCCCUGUCUACUAUCCAGCGAAACCACAACCAAGGGAACGGGCUUGG
rnacentral:rRNA from 16 species